rnacentral:misc_RNA from 1 species
AAAGUCGUAACAAGGUUUCCGUAGGUGAACCUGCGGAAGGAUCAUUAUGAAUUUGAACUUGUGUGUUGGUUUUGUUUCGAGACUUUUGUUUUGAACGCCGCCGCAAUUCUUUUUCUGUGAACUGUUCUUGAGUUACUCUUUUUUCAAUUUAUUUUGAAAAAAAGGGAAGCUUGGGUCAUUUUUGUUUUCUUGUAUUAUUCCACUUUUUUUGAGUAAUUCUUGCAAAAGAAUGAAAAAAAACAUAAAAACCAAGACAACUUUCAGCAAUGGAUCUCUUGGCUCUU